AUUGAACGCUAGCGGCAUGCUUUACACAUGCAAGUCGAACGGUAACAGGCCGCAAGGUGCUGACGAGUGGCGAACGGGUGAGUAAUGCAUCGGAACGUGCCCAGUCGAGGGGGAUAACUGCUCGAAAGAGCAGCUAAUACCGCAUACGAUCUAUGGAUGAAAGCGGGGGACCGUAAGGCCUCGCGCGAUUGGAGCGGCCGAUGUCAGAUUAGGUAGUUGGUGGGGUAAAGGCUCACCAAGCCAACGAUCUGUAGCUGGUCUGAGAGGACGACCAGCCACGCUGGGACUGAGACACGGCCCAGACUCCUACGGGAGGCAGCAGUGGGGAAUUUUGGACAAUGGGGGCAACCCUGAUCCAGCAAUGCCGCGUGCAGGAAGAAGGCCUUCGGGUUGUAAACUGCUUUUGUACGGAACGAAACGGUCUGGGUUAAUACCCUGGGCUAAUGACGGUACCGUAAGAAUAAGCACCGGCUAACUACGUGCCAGCAGCCGCAGUAA
rnacentral:rRNA from 1 species